rnacentral:lncRNA from 1 species
CUCCUUGGUCUUUCUGCAAGUGCUGCUACGGCGACCAUUUUCCCGCAAUGCUCGCAAGCUCCUAUAGCUUCCCUUCUUCCCCCGUACCUCUCACCAGCGGUGUCUUCGGUAUGUGAAAACCCAAUUCUUCAACCCUACAGGAUCCAACAGGCAAUCACAGCUGGCAUCUUACCUUUAUCACCCUUGUUCCUCCAACAAUCAUCAGCCCUAUUACAUCAGUUACCUUUGGUGCAUUUAUUGGCACAAAACAUCAGGGCACAACAACUACAACAACUUGUGCUAGCAAACCUUGCUGCCUACUCUCAGCAACAGCAGUUUCUUCCAUUCAACCAACUAGCUGCAUUGAACUCUGCUUCUUAUUUGCAACAACAACAACUACCAUUCAGCCAGCUACCUGCUGCCUACCCCCAGCAAUUUCUUCCAUUCAACCAACUGGCAGCAUUGAACUCUCCUGCUUAUUUACAGCAGCAACAACUACUACCAUUCAGCCAGCUAGCUGGUGUGAGCCCUGCUACCUUCUUGAUACAACCACAGUUGUUGCCGUUCUACCAGCACGCUGCGCCUAACGCUGGCACCCUCUUACAACUGCAACAAUUGCUGCCAUUCAACCAACUUGCUUUGACAAACCCAGCAGCGUUCUACCAACAACCCAUCAUUGGUGGUGCCCUCUUUUAGAUUUCUUAUGAGUUAUAGUUCAAUAAUAAAGUUUUUUGUCUGAUGUUUGUGGCUUCCCAGAAAUAAGAAAGUACAUUUCUAGAUUCUUAUGUGCUUCUAGUCUCCAAAUGUGGUUGAUAGUUAUUUUGCUCUAAGAUCGACAGUAAUGAAGUAUAAAUCAUCGUUGUGGUGUGCUACUCGGUUAAUUGAGCAUUAACACACACAAACAUGACGAGGAUGGUAUAAUCUCCAAAAAUAUGUACUUUGUUAGGUGGGACCCUAUAGCCUUGCAUAAUGUGCUAUGUUAGGCAUGCCUGGAAACGUGUGACGCAUAUGUUUUGUGAACCUGUUGAUAUUAUAUGUGCUUUUAUAUUACCAUAUUUUAUUAAAAUACUAAUAUUUAUUACUAGUAAGAUAUAACAUUCUAUCUAGCUUAAAAACUAACCAUAAAUAUUCCAUAAUAACUAGAUUUACCAAACUAAUAUACUAAAUAUACAUAAUAAAUACAAAAUUAACAAGACAAUAAUCAAUAUUUAUGAGCUUAAUAUAUUUAGACAUUAUGGUUGGUCGACCAUAAUCAUGCUAACUUUUCGUACUUGCUUGAUUGUAAAUAUGCUUAGAAUAAUGCCUCUUUGUUCUACAUGGCAAAUAGGGACCAUUAUGGUGUAACACCCUGGGAACCACAAACACCCCGAAAUGCUACUAAACUACACAACUAACCUUCAUAUAUAAAAUUUCGACAGCAUCUCCUUUGAAAAUUUGCAUAAACGUGGAAGCAACAGAGUAUAAACAGAUAUCAUGAUAAGGAAACAUACUAGACAUUAAUAAUCUGCUAGAAAUGGGAAGAUAACCAUAACGACAUAAACUGAAUUAACUAGUGUGCACAACUUGUUUAAAACAAACAUCAUUGACAAGAAGUUUCUAAUUAAAUCAUGGCUGUGCCUGGGUAGCGUUAUUAUGAGAGUGAAGGUGGACGUGAUGCUACUUCCCUCAUUCCCAACAUGAAUCAAGUACCUGCAUUGAGUAAUGCAAGAGUGAGAUGAAAACAUCUCAGCAAGUAAAUUGUUUUGACGAGAUAUUUAAAGCAAAAAAAUUUGAUUUACUCAACAUUUUAAAGGGAUCACAAUUGAGAUCAGAAAUACUUGUAGAUAUAGAACUCAAUAGUCCCAAAAUAACCAGUGCCAUCUCAUUUCCUCAAACAACCACAAUAGGUUGUAUAACACUUCCCUGCGUCAUCAAUACCUGCAAAUAUCACUUCAAUGUAUGCAUAGGAAUGCAAUGUUUAAGUCCUCUGCAUUCAUACUUCUUAGAGUAUAAAACCACACCAUCUGCAAAUAUCACUUCAAUGAAUGCAUAUGAAUGCAAUGCAUAUGUCCUCUGCCUUCAUACCUCUAAGGGUAUGAAGCCGAAUCGUACCCCUCCUCGGGCAACGUACGAUGCUAAGUUGUACCGUUACGGUCGGACCAUAGGUCACGACAAAACUUCAUAUGCAAGUGAAUCAUGACAUGUAUAUGGCUUGCUGCAUUUAUCAAUAUACUUCACUUCCUUCAUAUACAAUACAAACCUCAAAUAAUACUUCGUUUACCUUCAGAUACAAUACAAACCUCAAAUAAUACUUCAUUCACCUUCAGGGGUGUUUAUUAAUCUCGUGGGUCAUACUCGAAUCAUCAUCAUCAUCAAUGAUGAUUAAGCAUCAGUAUAAUACAAUCAAGUAAAGCAUCACCAUAGAGUUCAAUUAUGAAAGAAUUCGAUGAUUCUGAAUAUUAGAGUGUAUGCGAUGAAACAACAACGUCAAAACGGUAGCAACCACCGCUACAUUCACUUGCCUUCAUCGAAGAAGAAAAACAUACUAGGCAUGAUUCAGAGUGUAGACACCUGCUGUGGGGCUUAAAACUUAGUACAAAUAUUCCACAAACAUUUGCCAACAAUUAACAAAUCGCUCCUACACUUGAAACCAAGACCCGGUGGAAUGACUCCCACCCUGAACCACAUGCCAAACAAUAGUAGUGUUGUUUGUUAAUUUUGUAUCUUUAAAAUUAUAACAGUGGUGAUAUCAAACAAAUACUCCAGAAGUUUCUACACAAAAUACUCUACAACUUUGGUAUUCAAUGGAUAAUUAAAUUUUGCCAUCUAUAAGUUCUAAAACAUCUGAUAAGAUAACUGACUGAAUUUGUUUCAGACAACAGCAUAGUUAACUUCAAAAUUCGAUAUCUCCCAAACUCCUCAACCAAAAAUUAUGAAAUUAUUCUGACAGUAAGAACUUUUUUCCCUCUACAAAAGUAUCUAUAGUUGGAAGAGCCAAUUCGGCCAUUUACUAGAUGAAACCUACCAGUUAACAGACCCGCUCAUUUUUGUCAGGCAAACAAGAACCCUUAUAUAUCAAAGAGUAGUGGAUUUGAAUUUGUCUAAUAUGAAGUUUAUGGGCUUGGAUCAUUUAAAGUAUUUUAUAAUUCUGAAAGACAAGAUUAAACUAACUAUGUAUGAUCCUUUAGCACUGUACAGAUGGUCGAUGGGACAGUUACAUGGUUUAUAUAGAUGGACCUAUCUAUAUUCCUUCAGUGGUUGAGAAAAAGGUAAAGGUGUGUCACACUCACGUGUGCGCCGCCUCUACCGAGAUGAGGCAUGGCGUUGCAAGGUGAGGCAUGGCAUGGUGCAGCACGAUCGUAUACAUGGUCGUGGCACAGUGUAGCACUGUUGUGGAUAGAUAGAUAAACUUUUGUUGUAGUUAGAGUGCAUGAGUUUUUGAAUGCAACACAAGAAUUUUCACAAUUUAACUUAAUUAAGAAGUUAUAUCUUGAUGACACAGAGUUACCUGACCAUUGAUCUCACAUGCCCUUUUAGCUCUCUCGUUCUCUAGACUCACCCUGACUAUUUAGGUCUCCUGACUCGCCAAUAUAAACACCAUCCUAUCAUUUGCUCUCGAAUACUUCUGUGUCACAACUCAACUGUCAGAUGAGUACUCCAUUACAGCACUGAGCAGGCCUCCGAAAUGAAUAUCUACUCAGAUGAAGGACGACAAUCGUGUUCUAGGGAAAUAUCGGUGACACAACUCCUUACUUCCUCCGCUUCUUCCUAGUGUUUUUUGUUGUGAUUGAGUCGACACAGCAACAACACUGCACUAUUACAACCAGUACGACUAUAUUAACUAGCAAUGUCUUCCUUAUAUGUUACUAUUUAUUUUGCUCAUAUUCAUUAUGUUUAAAUCACAUAGGCACCUUUUUGUUGGCAUCAAAAAAUUAGUAUCAACUUUCUAGAUUAAAGUGAAACUAAAAGUACCUAAAUUUCUAUCGGUGGGGAUCGAGUGAUUCUUUAAACCAAUUAUUACGCAAGUUAACCACACUAAAAUUAACAUUGGUGAACCGUGCCAUGAUUUUUUCUAAUGGAAAAUAGCCAAACCAAGCAACACAUAUGUGGCUAUCGUUACACAUGUGUAAAGGUAUUGCAUCACACCAUUGUCACCCAUGUAUUUGGACAAUACCGAGAGGAAAAACCACUUAUUUAUUGUAUUUUAUCAAGUUUGUCUUGCUUACGUAUAAAUUAUAACCCAACAAAGUAAUCACUAAAUGUCAAAACCAACUAGAUACCAUGUCAUCUCUACCUUAUCUUACUAAUAUUCUUUUUGCAAAAUCCAAAAUUAAUCUUGCACAAGCACAAGGACUGAGAUGUGUAUAAAUAUCUCUUAAAUUAGUAGCUAAUAUAUCACACAUAUUAUUGAGACCAACUAGCAACAUAGAAAGCACAAUAGUGUACCAACAAUGGCAGCUAAAAUAUUUUGCCUCCUUAUGCUCCUUGGUCUUUCUGCAAGUGCUGCUACGGCGACCAUUUUCCCACAAUGCUCACAAGCUCCUAUAGCUUCCCUUCUUCCCCCGUACCUCUCACCAACGGUGUCUUCGGUAUGUGAAAACCCAAUUCUUCAACCCUACAGGAUCCAACAGGCAAUCGCAGCUGGCAUCUUACCUUUAUCACCCUUGUUCCUCCAACAAUCAUCAGCCCUAUUACAGCAGUUACCUUUGGUGCAUUUAUUGGCACAAAACAUCAGGGCACAACAACUACAACAACUUGUGCUAGCAAACCUUGCUGCCUACUCUCAGCAACAGCAGUUUCUUCCAUUCAACCAACUAGCUGCAUUGAACUCUGCUUCUUAUUUGCAACAACAACAACUACCAUUCAGCCAGCUAUCUGCUGCCUACCCCCAGCAAUUUCUUCCAUUCAACCAACUGACAGCAUUGAACUCUCCUGCUUAUUUACAGCAGCAACAACUACUACCAUUCAGCCAGCUAGCUGGUGUGAGCCCUGCUACCUUCUUGACACAACCACAGUUGUUGCCGUUCUACCAGCACGCUGCGCCUAACGCUGGCACCCUCUUACAACUGCAACAAUUGCUGCCAUUCAACCAACUUGCUUUGACAAACCCAGCAGCAUUCUACCAACAACCCAUCAUUGGUGGUGCCCUCUUUUAGAUUUCUUAUGAGUUAUAGUUCAAUAAUAAAGUUUUUUGUCUGAUGUUUGUGGCUUCCCAGAAAUAAGAAAGUACAUUUCUAGAUUCUUAUGUGCUUCUAGUCUCCAAAUGUGGUUGAUAGUUAUUUUGCUCUAAGAUCAACAGUAAUGAAGUAUAAAUCAUCGUUGUGGUGUGCUACUCGGUUAAUUGAGCAUUAACACACACAAACAUGACGAGGAUGGUAUAAUCUCCAAAAAUGUGUACUUUGUUAGGUGGGACCCUAUAGCCUUGAUUAAUGUGCUAUGUUAGGCAUGCCUGGAAACGUGUGACGCAUAUGUUUUGUGAACCUGUUGAUAUUAUAUGUGCUUUUAUAUUACCAUAUUUUAUUAAAAUACUAAUAUUUAUUACUAGUAAGAUAUAACAUUCUAUCUAGCUUAAAAACUAACCAUAAAUAUUCCAUAAUAACUAGAUUUACCAAACUAAUAUACUAAAUAUACAUAAUAAAUACAAAAUUAACAAGACAAUAAUCAAUAUUUAUGAGCUUAAUAUAUUUAGACAUUAUGGUUGGUCGACGAUAAUCAUGCUAACUUUUCGUAAUUGCUUGAUUGUAAAUAUGCUUAGAAUAAUGCCUCUUUGUUCUACAUGGCAAAUAGGGACCAUUAUGGUGUAACACCCUGGGAACCACAAACACCCCGAAAUGCUACUAAACUACACAACUAACCUUCAUAUAUAAAAUUUCGACAGCAUCUCCUUUGAAAAUUUGCAUAGACGUGGAAGCAACAGAGUAUAAACAGAUAUCAUGAUAAGAAAACAUACUAGACAUUAAUAAUCUGCUAGAAAUGGGAAGAUAACCAUAACGACAUAAACUGAAUUAACUAGUGUGCACAACUUGUUAAAAACAAACAUCGUUGACAAGAAGUUUCUAAUUAAAUCAUGGUUGUGCCUGGGCAGCGUUAUUAUGAGAGUGAAGGUGGACGUGAUGCUACUUCCCUCAUUCCCAACAUGAAUCAAGUACCUGCAUUGAGCAAUGCAAGAGUGAGAUGAAAACAUCUCAGCAAGUAAAUUGUUUUGACGAGAUAUUUAAACCAAAAAAAUUUGAUUUACUCAACAUUUUAAAGGGAUCACAAUUGAGAUCAGAAAUACUUGUAGAUAUAGAACUCAAUAGUCCCAAAAUAACCAGUGCCAUCUCAUUUCCUCAAACAACCACAAUAGGUUGUAUAACACUUCCCUGCGUCAUCAAUACCUGCAAAUAUCACUUCAAUGUAUGCAUAGGAAUGCAAUGUUUAAGUCCUCUGCAUUCAUACUUCUUAGAGUAUAAAACCACACCAUCUGCAAAUAUCACUUCAAUGAAUGCAUAUGAAUGCAAUGCAUAUGUCCUCUGCCUUCAUACCUCUAAGGGUAUGAAGCCGAAUCGUACCCCUCCUCGGGCAACGUACGAUGCUAAGUUGUACCGGUACGGUCGGACCAUAGGUCACGACAAAACUUCAUAUGCAAGUGAAUCAUGACAUGUAUAUGGCUUGCUGCAUUUAUCAAUAUACUUCACUUCCUUCAUAUACAAUACAAACCUCAAAUAAUACUUCGUUUACCUUCAGAUACAAUACAAACCUCAAAUAAUACUUCAUUCACCUUCAGGGGUGUUUAUUAAUCUCGUGGGUCAUACUCGAAUCAUCAUCAUCAUCAAUGAUGAUUAAGCAUCAGUAUAAUACAAUCAAGUAAAGCAUCACCAUAGAGUUCAAUUAUGAAAGAAUUCGAUGAUUCUGAAUAUUAGAGUGUAUGCGAUGAAACAACAACGUCAAAACGGUAGCAACCACCGCUACAUUCAUUUGCCUUCAUCGAAGAAGAAAAAUGUACUAGGCAUGAUUCAGAGUGUAGACACCUGCUGUGGGGCUUAAAACUUAGUACAAAUAUUCCACAAACAUUUGCCAACAAUUAACAAAUCGCUCCUACACUUGAAACCAAGACCCGGUGGAAUGACUCCCACCCUGAACCACAUGCCAAACAAUAGUAGUGCUGUUUGUUAAUUUUGUAUCUUUAAAAUUAUAACAGUGGUGAUAUCAAACAAAUACUCUAGAAGUUUCUACACAAAAUACUCUACAACUUCGGUAUUCAAUGGAUAAUUAAAUUUUGCCAUCUAUAAGUUCUAAAACAUCUGAUAAGAUAACUGACUGAAUUUGUUUCAGACAGCAGCAUAGUUAACUUCAAAAUUCGAUAUCUCCCAAACUCCUCAACCAAAAAUUAUGAAAUUAUGCUGACAGUAAGAACUUUUUGUCCCUCUACAAAAGUAUCUAUAGUUGGAAGAGCCAAUUCGGCCAUUUACUAGAUGAAACCUACCAGUUAACAGACCCGCUCAUUUUUGUCAGGCAAACAAGAACCCUUAUAUAUCAAAGAGUAGUGGAUUUGAAUUUGUCUAAUAUGAAGUUUAUGGGCUUGGAUCAUUUAAAGUAUUUUAUAAUUCUGAAAGACAAGAUUAAACUAACUAUGUAUGAUCCUUUAGCACCGUACAGAUGGUCGAUGGGACAGUUACAUGGUUUAUAUAGAUGGACCUAUCUAUAUUCCUUCAGUGGUUGAGAAAAAGGUAAAGGUGUGUCACACUCACGUGUGCGCCGCCUCUGCCGAGAUGAGGCAUGGCGUUGCAAGGUGAGGCAUGGCAUGGUGCAGCACGAUCGCAGUCAUGGUCGUGGCACAGUGUAGCACUGUUGUGGAUAGAUAGAUAAACUAUUGUUGUAGUUAGAGUGCAUGAGUUUUUGAAUGCAACACUAGGAUUUUCACAAUUUAACUUAAUUAAGAAGUUAUAUCUUGAUGACACAGAGUUACCUGACCAUUGAUCUCACAUGCCCUUUUAGCUCUCUUGUUCUCUAGACUCACCCUGACUAUUGAGGUCUCUUGACUCGCCAAUAUAAACACCAUCCUAUCAUUUGCUCUCGAAUACUUUUGUGUCACAACUCAACUGUCAGAUGAGUACUCCAUUACAGCACUGAGCAGGCCUCCGAAAUGAAUAUCUACUCAGAUGAAGGACGACAAUCGUGUUCUAGGGAAAUAUCAGUGACACAACUCCUUACUUCCUCUGCUUCUUCCUAGUGUUUUUUGUUGUGAUUGAGUCGACACAGCAACAACACUGCACUAUUACAACCAGUACGACUAUAUUAACUAGCAAUGUCUUCCUUAUAUGUUACUAUUUAUUUUGCUCAUAUUCAUUAUGUUUAAAUCACAUAGGCACCUUUUUGUUGGCAUCAAAAAAUUAGUAUCAACUUUCUAGAUUAAAGUGAAACUAAAAGUACCUAAAUUUCUAUCGGUGGGGAUCGAGUGAUUCUUUAAACCGAUUAUUACACAAGUGAACCACACUAAAAUUAACAUUGGUGAAUCGUGCCAUGAUUUUUUCUAGUGGAAAAUAGCCAAACCAAGCAACACAUAUGUGGCUAUCGUUACACAUGUGUAAAGGUAUUGCAUCACACCAUUGUCACCCAUGUAUUUGGACAAUACCGAGAGGAAAAACCACUUAUUUAUUGUAUUUUAUCAAGUUUGUCUUGCUUACGUAUAAAUUAUAACCCAACAAAGUAAUCACUAAAUGUCAAAACCAACUAGAUACCAUGUCAUCUCUACCUUAUCUUACUAAUAUUCUUUUUGCAAAAUCCAAAAUUAAUCUUGCACAAGCACAAGGACUGAGAUGUGUAUAAAUAUCUCUUAAAUUAGUAGCUAAUAUAUCACACAUAUUAUUGAGACCAACUAGCAACAUAGAAAGCACAAUAGUGUACCAACAAUGGCAGCCAAAAUAUUUUGCCUCCUUAUGCUCCUUGGUCUUUCUGCAAGUGCUGCUACGGCGACCAUUUUCCCACAAUGCUCACAAGCUCCUAUAGCUUCCCUUCUUCCCCCGUACCUCUCACCAGCGGUGUCUUCGGUAUGUGAAAACCCAAUUCUUCAACCCUAUAGGAUCCAACAGGCAAUCGCAGCUGGCAUCUUACCUUUAUCACCCUUGUUCCUCCAACAAUCAUCAGCCCUAUUACAGCAGUUACCUUUGGUGCAUUUAUUGGCACAAAACAUCAGGGCACAACAACUACAACAACUUGUGCUAGCAAACCUUGCUGCCUACUCUCAGCAACAACAGUUUCUUCCAUUCAACCAACUAGCUGCAUUGAACUCUGCUUCUUAUUUGCAACAACAACAACUACCAUUCAGCCAGCUAUCUGCUGCCUACCCCCAGCAAUUUCUUCCAUUCAACCAACUGACAGCUUUGAACUCUCCUGCUUAUUUACAGCAGCAACAACUACUACCAUUCAGCCAGCUAGCUGGUGUGAGCCCUGCUACCUUCUUGACACAACCACAAUUGUUGCCGUUCUACCAGCACGCUGCGCCUAACGCUGGCACCCUCUUACAACUGCAACAAUUGCUGCCAUUCAACCAACUUGCUUUGACAAACCCAACAGCAUUCUACCAACAACCCAUCAUUGGUGGUGCCCUCUUUUAGAUUUCUUAUGAGUUAUAGUUCAAUAAUAAAGUUUUUUGUCUGAUGUUUGUGGCUUCCCAGAAAUAAGAAAGUACAUUUCUAGAUUCUUAUGUGCUUCUAGUCUCCAAAUGUGGUUGAUAGUUAUUUUGCUCUAAGAUUAGCAGUAAUGAAGUAUAAAUCAUCGUUGUGGUGUGCUACUCGGUUAAUUGAGCAUUAACACACACAAACAUGACGAGGAUGGUAUAAUCUCCAAAAAUGUGUACUUUGUUAGGUGGGACCCUAUAGCCUUGCAGAAUGUGCUACGUUAGGCAUGCCAAUGGAAACGUGUGACACAUACGUUUUGUGAAUCUGUUGAUAUUAUAUGUGCUUUUAUAUUACCAUAUUUUAUUAAAAUACUAAUAUUUAUUACUAGUAAGAUAUAACAUUCUAUCUAGCUUAAAAACUAACCAUAAAUAUUCCAUAAUAACUAGAUUUACCAAACUAAUAUACUAAAUAUACAUAAUAAAUAUAAAAUUAACAAGACAAUAAUUAAUAUUUAUGAGCUUAAUUUAUUUAGACAUUAUGGUUGGUCGACGAUAAUCAUGCUAACUUUCCGUAAUUGCUUGAUUGUAAAUAUGCUUAGAAUAAUGCCUCUUUGUUCUACAUGGCAAAUAGGGACCAUUAUGGUGUAACACCCCGGGAUCCACAAACACCCCGAAAUGCUACUAAACUACACAACUAACCUUCAUAUAUAAAAUUUCGACAGCAUCUCCUUUGAAAAUUUGCAUAAACGUGGAAGCAACAGAGUAUAAACAGAUAUCAUGAUAAGGAAACAUACUAGACAUUAAUAAUCUGCUAGAAAUGGGAAGAUAACCAUAACGACAUAAACUGAAUUAACUAGUGUGCACAACUUGUUAAAAACAAACAUCGUUGACAAGAAGUUUCUAAUUAAAUCAUGGUUGUGCCUGGGCAGCGUUAUUAUGAGAGUGAAGGUGGACGUGAUGCUACUUCCCUCAUUCCCAACAUGAAUCAAGUACCUGCAUUGAGUAAUGCAAGAGUGAGAUGAAAACAUCUCAGCAAGUAAAUUGUUUUGACGAGAUAUUUAAACCAAAAAAAUUGAUUUAAUCAACAUUUUAAAGGGAUCACAAUUGAGAUCAGAAAUACUUGUAGAUAUAGAACUCAAUAGUCCCAAAAUAACCAAUGCCAUCUCAUUUCCUCAAACAACCACAAUAGGUUGUAUAACACUUCCCUGCGUCAUCAAUACCUGCAAAUAUCACUUCAAUGUAUGCAUAGGAAUGCAAUGUUUAAGUCCUCUGCAUUCAUACUUCUUAGAGUAUAAAACCACACCAUCUGCAAAUAUCACUUCAAUGAAUGCAUAUGAAUGCAAUGCAUAUGUCCUCUGCCUUCAUACCUCUAAGGGUAUGAAGCCGCAUCGUACCCCUCCUCGGGCAACGUACGAUGCUAAGUUGUACCGGUACGGUCGGACCAUAGGUCACGACAAAACUUCAGAUGCAAGUGAAUCAUGACAUGUAUAUGGCAUGCUGCAUUUAUCAAUAUACUUCACUUCCUUCAUAUACAAUACAAACCUAAAAUAAUACUUCGUUUACCUUCAGAUACAAUACAAACCUCAAAUAAUACUUCAUUCACCUUCAGGGGUGUUUAUUAAUCUCGUGGGUCAUACUCAAAUCAUCAUCAUCAUCAAUGAUGUUUAAGCAUCAGUAUAAUACAAUCAAGUAAAGCAUCACCAUAGAGUUCAAUUAUGAAAGAAUUCGAUGAUUCUGAAUAUUAGAGUGUAUGCGAUGAAACAACAAAGUCAAAACGGUAGCAACCACCUCUACAUUCACUUGCCUUCAUCGAAGAAGAAAAAGGUACUAGGCAUGAUUCGGAGUGUAGACACCUGCUGUGGGGCUUAAAACUUAGUACAAAUAUUCCAUAAACAUUUGCCAACAAUUAACAAAUCGCUCCUACACUUGAAACCAAGACCCGGUGGAAUGACUCCCACCCUGAACCACAUGCCAAACAACAAUAGUGUUGUUUGUUAAUUUCUAUCUUUAAAAUUAUAACAGUGGUGAUAUCAAACAAAUACUCUAUACGUUUCUACACAAAAUACUCUACAACUUCGGUAUUCAAUGGAUAAUUAAAUUUUGCCAUCUAUAAGUUCUAAAACAUCUGACAAGAUAACUGACUGAAUCUGUUUCAGACAACAGCAUAGUUAACUUCAAAAUUCGAUAUCUCCCUAACUCCUCAACAAAAAAUUAUGAAAUUAUGCUGACAGUAAGAACUUUUAUCCCUCUACAAAAGUCUCCAUAGUUGAAAGAGCCAAUUCGGCCAUUUACUAGAUGAAACCUACCAGUUAACGGACCCGCUCAUUUUUGUCAAGCAAACAAGAACCCUUAUAUAUCAAAGAGUAGUGGAUUUGAAUUUGUCUAAUAUGAAGUUUACGGGCUUGGCUCAUUUAAAGUAUUUAAUAAUUCUGAAAGACAAGAUUAAACUAACUAUGUAUGAUCCUUUAGCACCGUACAGAUGGUCGAUGGGACAGUUACAUGGUUUAUAUAGAUGGACCUAUCUAUAUUCCUUCAGUGGUUGAGAAAAAAGUAAAGGUGUGUCACACUCACGUGUGCGCCGCCUCCGCCGAGACGAGGCAUGGCGUUGCAAGGUGAGGCAUGGCAUGGUGUAGCACGAUAGCAGUCAUGGUCGUGGCACAGUGUAGCACUGUUGUGGAUAGAUAGGUAAACUAUUGUUGUAGUUAGAGUGCAUGAGUUUUUGAAUGCAACACUAGAAUUUUCACAAUUUAACUUAAUUAAGAAGUUAUAUCUUGAUGACACAGAGUUACCUGACCAUUGAUCUCACAUGCCCUUUUAGCUCUCUCGUUCUCUAGACUCACCCUGACUAUUUAAGUCUCUUGACUCGCCAAUAUAAACACCAUCCUAUCAUUUGCUCUAGAAUACUUCUGUGUCACAACUCAACUGUCAGAUGAGUACUCCAUUACAGCACUUACGUACACGAGUUCUAUGAGAGCAGGCCUCCAAAAUGAAUAUCUACUUAGAUGAAGGACGACAAUCGUGUUCUAGGGAAAUAUCAGCGACACAACUCCUUACUUCCUUCGCUUCUUCCUAGUGUUUUUUGUUGUGAUUGAGUCGACACAGCAACAACACUGCACUAUUACAACCAGUACGACUAUAUCAACUAGCAAUGUCUUCCUUAUAUGUUACUAUUUAUUUUGCACAUAUUCAUUAUGUUUAAAUCACAUAGGCACCUUUCUAUUGGCAUCAAAAAAUUAGUAUCAACUUUCUAGAUUAAAAUGAAACUAAAAGUACAUAAAUUUCUAUCGGUGGGGAUCGAGUGAUUCUUUAAACCGAUUAUUACACAAGUUAACCACACUAAAAUUAACAUUGGUGAAUCGUGCCAUGAUUUUUUUUCUAGUGGAAAAUAGCCAAACCAAGCAACACAUAUGUGGCUAUCGUUACACAUGUGUAAAGGUAUUGCAUCACACUAUUGUCACCCAUGUAUUUGGACAAUACCGAGAGGAAAAACCACUUAUUUAUUGUAUUUUAUCAAGUUUGUCUUGCUUACGUAUAAAAUUAUAACCCAACAAAGUAAUCACUAAACGUCAAAACCAACUAGAUAUCAUGUCAUCUCUACCUUAUCUUACUAAUAUUCUUUUUGCAAAAUCCAAAAUUAAUCUUGCACAAGCACAAGGACUGAGAUGUGUAUAAAUAUCUCUUAAAUUAGUAGCUAAUAUAUCGCACAUAUUAUUUAGACCAACUAGCAACAUAGAAAGCACAAUAGUGUACCAACAAUGGCAGCCAAAAUAUUUUGCCUCCUUAUGCUCCUUGGUAUUUCUGCAAGUGCUGCUACGGCGACCAUUUUCCCGCAAUGCUCACAAGCUCCUAUAGCUUCCCUUCUUCCCCCGUACCUCUCACCAGCGGUGUCUUCGGUAUGUGAAAACCCAAUUCUUCAACCCUACAGGAUCCAACAGGCAAUCGCAGCUGGCAUCUUACCUUUAUCACCCUUGUUCCUCCAACAAUCAUCAGCCCUAUUACAGCAGUUACCUUUGGUGCAUUUAUUGGCACAAAACAUCAGGGCACAACAACUACAACAACUUGUGCUAGCAAACCUUGCUGCCUACUCUCAGCAACAGCAGUUUCUUCCAUUCAACCAACUAGCUGCAUUGAACUCUGCUUCUUAUUUGCAACAACAACAACUACCAUUCAGCCAGCUACCUGUUGCCUACCCCCAGCAAUUUCUUCCAUUCAACCAACUGGCAGCAUUGAACUCUCCUGCUUAUUUACAGCAGCAACAACUACUACCAUUCAGCCAGCUAGCUGGUGUGAGCCCUGCUACCUUCUUGACACAACCACAGUUGUUGCCGUUCUACCAGCACGCUGCGCCUAACGCUGGCACCCUCUUACAACUGCAACAAUUGCUGCCAUUCAACCAACUUGCUUUGACAAACCUAGCAGUGUUCUACCAACAACCCAUCAUUGGUGGUGCCCUCUUUUAGAUUUCUUAUGAGUUAUAGUUCAAUAAUAAAGUUUUUUGUCUGAUGUUUGUGGCUUCCCAGAAAUAAGAAAGUACAUUUCUAGAUUCUUAUGUGCUUCUAGUCUCCAAAUGUGGUUGAUAGUUAUUUUGCUCUAAGAUCAGCAGUACAACAACAACAACAACAACAACAACAACAACAACAAAGCCUUUUUGUCCCAAGCACGUUGGGGUAGGCUAGAGAUGAAACCCCGUAUGAAAACCUCAGAGCUCAACCCCCAAAGAACAGAAAAGGGAAACAAAGGCAAAGGAGAACCGAAAACAACGAAACGGGGAAACACAUAAAAGAGAUAAAACCCACAAGGACCAGCAAGAUCUAAAAUGGACACAAGAAAAGGUCAAACGAUUAAGGAGGAAAAGCGAAACUAUCAAUCAGGGUUCUGGCACGUGAAUUGCACACUUCCACCCCUUCCUAUCUGCGGCGAGCUCUUUGUCAAUAUUCCACUCCUUCAGGUCUCUCUUCACAGCCUCUGUCCACGUCAAAGUUGGUCGACCUCUACCUCUCUUCACAUUUUCGGGACGCCUAAUUAUUCCGAUAUGCACUGGUGCCUCUUCAGGUCUUCGUUGGAUAUGUCCAAACCAUCUCAAGCGAUGUUGCAUAAGCUUCUCCUCAAUUGGCGCCACUCCUACUCUCUCUCGUAUAUCAUCAUUCCGGACUCGAUCUCUCCUUGUGUGGCCACAUAUCCAGCGCAACAUACGCAUCUCUGCCACACUUAGUUGUUGGACAUGUCGUCUUUUAGUGGGCCAACAUUCUGCUCCAUACAACAUAGCCGGCCGGAUUGCUGUCCUGUAGAAUUUGCCUUUUAGUUUGCGUGGCACCCGGUGGUCGCAUAAGACACCCGCAGCUUGUCGCCACUUCAACCAUCCGGCUUUAAUUCUAUGACUGACAUCCUCAUCGAUGUCUCCCUCCUUUUGAAGCAUUGAUCCUAAGUAACGAAAAGUGUCUUUCUUGGGUACCACUUGCCCAUCAAGACUAACAUCGCCAUCCUCAUACCCCAUGGCACUGAAAUCACACUUCAUAUACUCUGUUUUAGACCUACUAAGCCUAAAACCUUUUGCUUCCAGCGUCUGCCUCCACAAUUCCAACUUUUGAGAAACACCACUCCUACUCUCCUCAAUAAGUACCACAUCAUCGGCAAAAAGCAUACACCACGGUAAAACUCCUUGUAUGUCCCUUGUGACCUCAUCUAUCACCAAAGCGAAAAGAUAAGGGCUCAAAGCCGACCCUUGAUGUAGUCCUAUGUUAAUUGGAAAGUCAUCGGUGUCUCCAUCACUUGUUCGGACACUUGUCACAACAUUAGUGUACAUAUCUUUAAUAAGAUUAAUGUACUUUGUUGCUACUUUGUGUUUUUCCAAGGCCCACCACAUUACACUCCUAGGUACUUUGUCAUAAGCCUUCUCCAAGUCUAUGAAGACCAUAUGCAGGUCUUUCUUUUGUUCUCUGAAUCUCUCCAUAAGUUGUCUUAGUAAGAAAAUGGCCUCCAUAGUUGAUCUCCCGGGCAUGAAACCAAACUGAUUUUGGGUCACGCUCGUCAUCUUUCGCAGGCGGUGUUCAAUGACUCUCUCCCAUAGCUUCAUUGUAUGGCUCAUGAGCUUAAUUCCACGGUAAUUAGUACAACUUUGAACAUCUCCUUUGUUCUUGAAGAUUGGUACUAAUGUACUCCGCCGCCACUCGUCGGGCAUUCUGUUUGCCCGAAAGAUGGUGUUGAAAAGCUUAGUCAGCCAUACUAUCGCUAUGUCUCCAAGACAUCUCCAUACCUCGAUAGGGAUACCAUCAGGGCCCAUCGCCUUUCCUACCUUCAUCCUUUUUAGCGCCUCCUUAACUUCAUAUUCUUGUAUCCUUCGUACAAAACCCCUGUUGUUGUCAUCGAAUGGUUCGUCCAAUUCUAUUGUAGCACUCUCAUUCCCUCCAUUGAACAAUUUGUUGAAGUACUCCUUCCAUCUGUUCUUGAUCUCUUCACUCUUCACUAAUAGUUGGUUUGCUUCGUCCUUGAUGCAUUUGACUUGGUUGACAUCCCUUGUCUUCCUUUCACGAAUCUUGGCCAUCCUAUAGAUAUCCUUUUCUCCCUGCUUUGUGUCCAGCCGUUGAUAAAGGUCGUCAUAGGCUUGACCCCGGGCUCUACUAACCGCUCGCUUUGCAGACUUCUUCGCUAUCCUGUACUUCUCUAUGUUUUCUGCACACUUGUCAUGAUGUAAGCGUUUGUAGCAAUCUUUCUUCUCCUUGAUAGCCUUUUGGACAUCUUCGUUCCACCACCAAGUGUCUUUAACUUCCCUUCUGUUCCCUUGACUCAACCCAAACUCUUCUGAAGCUAUCUUUCGGAUGCAUGUCGCCAUCUUCCUCCACAUGAUAUUUGCGUCUUCCUCUCCUGCCCAAGGGCCCUCCUCGAUAACUCUCUUCUUGAAAGUUUGGGCCACAUCCCCUUUAAGCUUCCACCACUUUGUUCUAGUGACCUUGUUAUGCUUAUUUCGUUGUAAACGAAUCUUAAAACGGAAGUCAGCAACGACAAGCUUAUGUUGGGUUACCACACACUCUCCAGGUAUAACCUUGCAAUCUAAGCAGGCAUGCCUGUCCUCUUUUCUCAAGAGGACGAAAUCAAUCUGGCUAGUGUGUUGGCCACUACUGAAGGUCACCAGGUGGGAUUGCCUCUUCUUAAAGAAAGUGUUUGCUAUAAACAUGUCAUAGGCUAGGGCAAAGUUCAGGAUUUCCUCUCCUUCUUGAUUCCUAGUCCCAAAGCCGAAGCCUCCAUGUACACCCUCGAAACUGGUGCUAGAUGUACCCACAUGGCCAUUGAGAUCUCCUCCUAUGAAGAGCUUCUCGCCAACUGGCACACUACUAACCAUGUCCUCUAGGCCUUCCCAGAACUCUCUCUUUGAGUUCUCAUUAAGGCCUACUUGAGGAGCAUACGCGCUGAUAACAUUGAGAACCAAGUCUCCAAUGACCAGCUUGACUAGGAUGAUUCUAUCUCCUACCCUCUUAACAUCUACUACCCCAUCUUUGAGGCUCUUGUCGAUCAAGACGCCUACUCCAUUCUUGUUUGUUGCAGUCCCCGUGUACCACAACUUGAAACCUGUACCUUUCACUUCCUUCGCCUUCUGUCCCUUCCACUUGGUCUCUUGAACGCAUAAAAUAUUUACCCGUCUCCUCACCGCAACGUCAACUAUUUCUCGUAACUUACCUGUUAAGGAACCUACGUUCCAACUGCCUACACGGACCCUAGUUGGCUCGACUAGCUUCCUUACCCUUCGCACCCGCCGAGGAAGAUGCAAAGACCCUUGCUCAUUUUUCACUACACCCGGGCGCCGAUGUAGCGCGCCACUAAGGAUGCGACGACCCGAUCCUUGCUCACUUAUCACCGGCUCCAGAUCAAGAGACAGCGCGUCACUUGAGGGGUGACGACCCGGCCCUUGCUCAUUUAACACCAUACCCGGGUUCCGAUAUGGCGCGUCGCUAAGAGGGUUACGCCCCAACGGUUUUCUUUGUGGUUUCAUCUCCAUAAGAUUUGGCUGGUUUUUUACGUUGGUUUGCCGGACCUAACACAACCCUCCUCCUUUACCGGGCUUGGGACCGGCUAUGUUGAAACGACUCAAGGAAGUCUUCCAAUCAACAUAGGCGGAGUUUAAGAUCAGCAGUAAUGAAGUAUAAAUCAUCGUUGUGGUGUGCUACUCGGUUAAUUGAGCAUUAACACACACAAACAUGACGAGGAUGGUAUAAUCUCCCAAAAUGUGUACUUUGUUAGGUGGGACCCUAUAGCCUUGCAGAAUGUGCUACGUUAGGCAUGCCGAUGGAAACGUGUGACGCAUACGUUUUGUGAACCUGUUGAUAUUAUAUGUGCUUUUAUAUUACCAUAUUUUAUUAAAACACUAAUAUUUAUUACUAGUAAGAUAUAACAUUCUAUCUAGCUUAAAAACUAACCAUAAAUAUUCCAUAAUAACUAGAUUUACCAAACUAAUAUACUAAAUAUACAUAAUAAAUACAAAAUUAACAAGACAAUAAUCAAUAUUUAUGAGCUUAAUAUAUUUAGACAUUAUGGUUGGUCGACGAUAAUCAUGCUAACUUUCCGUAAUUGCUUGAUUGUAAAUAUGCUUAGACUAAUGCCUCUUUGUUCUACAUGGCAAAUAGGGACCACUCUAGGAGACUAGGAUGUUGCUUGAGAUGAAAAUGUCAGAAUUGGUGUAGACUAAUUUCUAUCGGCCGCUGACUUCACUAUUGUAACCAUUAUAUCUUGGGUAAAUUAUAUACGAUUAUCCAGCCAAAGGGCCCAGAUGAUAAAAAACAAUUUUUAAUUGCUAUUUUAGGACAAAUGAAUUAGCAUGGUUCGAAGGAUUACGACCUUCCCCCCAUGACCUUUGUCAUACUGCUUUAGUCUAAUCGACAAAACCAAGAUUAGUUAUCAUCGAAGAAGUUCAUAAGCGAAGUUGUGACGAUGAAAGGAACAUGGUGGUAAUUGGACGAACGACGACACCUUUGUCUAAGAAUGGCAUCUAGAAGAAAUCUCAGACAAAAUAAGACAUGAAUGGCUUGUCAGUACAGCGCAAAUACUGAAACAUGCGCCCUUGAAUAUGAAACAUUUAUAUGUAAGAGGAAGGGAUAAAAAAACUAAUUACUCGUGCCUAAUGAUUUUAUUGGGAAUUUUAAGGCGAGACUUAUGGCAAAGGGUUAUACCAAAAAUAGGGGAGAGAUUAUUUCGAUACUUAUUCACUUGUUUCCCUUCAAAUGGCCAUACAUGUGUUACUUUUUUUGGCUGCCUCGCAUGGUCUUAUCGUUCAUCAGAUGAAUGUUAAGACUGCUUUCCCAAAUGGAGAGCUUAAGGAACAGAUCUACAUUGACUAGCCUAGUGGUUUUAUAUCAAAUGGUAAAGAGGAAAAGGUGUUUAAAAUAAUUGUUUGGUUUAAAACAAGCACCAAAGCACAUGAGAAAAUCGAUAAAGUUCUGACUUUGGCUAAAUUUGUUGUAAAUGAAGUUGAUAAAUGUGUCCAUUACCAGUUUGACAGGGGCGAAGGUAUGACCUUUUUAUAUGUGGACAAAAUAUUAACCUUUUGUAACGAUGUUAAUAUGAUAGAAGAAGUAAAGUAAUUUUUGUCUAGUAACUUAGAAAUAAACAAUCUGGGAGAGGCUAAUGUUGUUCUUAACAAAGAGAUGUUGAGAGAAGGAGGAAAUAGAGGGUUACUCUUGUGCAAUCCUAUUAGGUUGAAAAGUCGCUGAGUCGCUUUGGAUAUAGUGAUUACACGUCUGGUCCAACAACUUAUGACCCAAGUGUGUUAUUAAGGAAAAAUCAUAUAAUUGCAUAUGAUCAAUUGAGAUAUUGUCAAAUCAUGGUCUUCUCAUAUAUUUGGCAAGCCCAACGAUGUCUCAUAUCUGAUUUGUUAUGAGCAAACUCAGUUGCCUUGUCUCCAAUCUAGGGGAGGAUCAUGACAUGCCCUAGAGAGGGUAUUGCGCUUUCUCAAAGGGAUAUGAGUAAUGUCAUUUACUAUACUAGGCACCUAAGAGUACCAGAGUGUUAUAGUCAUGCAAAUAGGAUAUCUGAUGUUGAUUAGAUUUAUGCCACAAGUAGACUUGUGUGCUUCCUUGGAGGUGUGAUUGUUUCAUGGAAGUCUUGUAAGUAGACCAUCUUAACAAGGUCAACAAUAGAAGUAGAACUCACAACAUUAUAUACUACCAAAGUUGAAGUUGAUUGGCUCCGUGAACUCCUUACGGAUUUACCAGUAGUUGAAAAACCAAUACUGGUUAUCUCUAUGAGCUACAAUAAUCAAACAUUUGUAAUCGAAGUAAACAGUUCUAAAGUUAACAUGAUGUCUACAAAGCAUGUAAAAAUGGUUGAAACUGUUAAAACACUAAGAAACUCUAGAUUAAUUAUGUUGGACUAUAUCCAUACAUCGAAUUUGGUAUGCCAGUUUACAGAAGAUUUGUCACAUAAUAUGAUUCAAGGUGCAUCGAGGAAUAUGGGCUUGAGACCCACUUAAUGUCAAUCCAUAGUGGUAGCAGUUUCUAUGUGAUUGGAGAUCCCAUAAAGUAGAAUGGUGAAACAAGCUAGAGAAUGACUGAUGGAGAGACUCCUUAAAUAAAAUCUUGAUAAUUUGAGAUGCACAUUUCUCAUUUGAUGUAUUGUAGGCGAACUAAAAUCUUAAUAUGAUUUGAGUGACUUAUCUAAGCAGGGAUGUUAUCUUACAGAACAUCCUAGAAAGAACACACCUAUAUGAGUUUGCAUGUUAGUCAUAGUCUAUCAUGUGUGGUAAUCUUUAUAUACUCAUGAAAGGCUUGAAGUUUGACUUAUAUGCUUCAAACCAAGGGGGUGCUUGUAACAGUCUAGUACAAGAUAAGAACAUUGGUAAAACUCACUUAACGCAAAAUUGUCAAUUUAAGGCAUAGUUCAUUGUUUAGAUGUGAAUGUGUAAUCCCUGUUCUAGAUGGAUGGUCAACUUAACAGCCUCCACCAAAACCCUGAUAUCUCAAAGAGUAGUGGAUUUGAGUUUGUCUAAUAUGUGGUUUAGAUUUUGGUGGGGAAUUUUAAUAUUUUAUGGGCUUGGCCCAUUUAAGGUAUUUAAUACUUUCAAAAGACAAGAUUAAACAUGUGUGAAUAGUGUCAUGAUUUUUUUCUAGUGCAAAAUAGCCCAACAAAUCAACACAUAUGUGGCUAUCAUUACACAUGUGUAAAGGUAAUGCAUCACACCAUUGUCACCCAUGUAUUUAGAAAAUACCAAGAAGAAAAACAACUUGUUUAUUGUAUUUUAUGGAGAUUAUCUUGCUUACAUAUAAUUAUAACCCAACAAAGUGGUCACUAAAUGUCAAAACCAACUAGGUACCAGGUCAUCUCUAGCUUAUCUUGCUAAUGAUAUUUUUGCAAAAUCCAAAAUUAAUCUUGCACAAGCACAAGGACUGAGAUGUGUAUAAAAAUCUCUUAGAUUAGUAGGUAAUCCAUCACACAAAGCGCAAUAGUGUAGCAAAACUGGCAGUCAAAAUAUUUUGCCUCCUUAUGCUCCUUGCUCUUUCUGCAAGUGCUGCUAACGCGACCAAUUUUCUGCAAUGCUCACAAGAUCCAAUUGCUUCCCUUCUUCCCUCAUACCUCUCACCAGCGACAUCUUCAGUAUGUGAAAACCCAAUUCUUCAACCCUAUAGGAUCCAACAGGCAAUCACAGCAAGCAUCUUACCUUUAUCACCCUUGUUCCUCCAACAACCGCCAGCCCUGUUACAACAAUUACCUUUGGUGCAUUUGUUGGAACAAAGCAUCAAGGCACAACAACUACAACAACCUGUGCUGACAAACCUUGUUGCCUACUCUCAGCAACAAUAGUUUCUUCCAUUCAACCAACUGGCUGCACUGAACUCUGCUGCUUAUUUGCAACAACAACAACAACUUCCAUUCACCCAGCUAGCUGCUGCCUACCCCCAACAAUUUCUUCCAUUCGACUAACUGGCUGCAUUGAACUCUGUUGCUUAUUUACAACAGCAACAACUAAUACCAUGAAACCAGCUAGCUGUUGCGAGCCCUGCUAC